rnacentral:rRNA from 1 species
CGAUUGGGGCCUACGGGAGGCAGCAGUGGGGAAUAUUGCACAAUGGGCGCAAGCCUGAUGCACCCAUGCCGCGUGUGUGAAGAAGGCCUUCGGGUUGCAAAGUACUUUCAGCGGGGGGGAAGGCGGUGAGGUUAAUAACCUCAUCGAUUGACUUUACCCCCAAAAAAAGCACCGGCUAACUACGUGCCAC